UUUUCGAAUUUCAUAUCAAAACGUGUUUCGAGUUUUCACUCAUAAAAAUAACAACAAACCGGUGUUAUUCAACAUUGCAUAGCUGAAAUAUUCCUUUUCGAGGAAUAUUUGUUAAAAACCAAAAGCUCUUUAAAAUAGUCUCUACAACAGGAAUGCGGAAGUCAGUAGGGCCCUCACAGAGACAGAACCUUCUUAAGCAGAGGAAUAAUUUUGAGAACACGCCAAAUGACAAUAGACGGAAGACCGGGCUGUCCACGACCAAGGGAGGCUUCGGGAGGACCCCCCAGGCGAGGGGCGUGAGUGUUGGGGGAGGAGGAGGAGGA
rnacentral:lncRNA from 1 species